UUUGAACGCAAAUGGCGCUCUCGGUUUCGCCGGGAGCACGUCUGUCUGAGCGUUUGUUUUUACAGUGUGUCAACCGGAAACAAAACGGCUGGCGCGCC
rnacentral:rRNA from 1 species